GAGAAUGUAACAGUUUGGCAGUGCACGUUAGCUAGCUGUUGUCUCUGAUGUAUCAACAGCUGCUGGCUGCACUCCGUAUUGUUUCAUGCAAA
rnacentral:pre_miRNA from 1 species